rnacentral:rRNA from 1 species
AACGAACGCUGGCGGCAUGCCUAACACAUGCAAGUCGAACGAGAUCUUCGGGUCUAGUGGCGCACGGGUGCGUAACGCGUGGGAAUCUGCCCCUUGGUUCGGAAUAACAGAUGGAAACGACUGCUAAUACCGGAUGAUGACGAAAGUCCAAAGAUUUAUCGCCAGAGGAUGAGCCCGCGUAGGAUUAGCUCGUUGGGGUGGUAAAGGCGCACCAAGGCGACGAUCCUUAGCUGGUCUGAGAGGAUGAUCAGCCACACUGGGACUGAGACACGGCCCAGACUCGUACGGGAGGCAGCAUUGAGGAAAAUUGGACAAUGGGGGAAAGACUGAUCCAGCAAUGCCGCGUGAGUGAUGAAGGCCUUAGGGUUGUAAAGCACUUGUACCCGUGAUGAUAAUGUCAGUACCGGGAGAAUAACCUCCGGCUGACUCCGUGCCGGCAGCCGAGGUAA